rnacentral:rRNA from 1 species
UGGCUGUCGUCAGCUCGUGCCGUGAGGUGUGGGUUAAGUCCCGCCAACGAGCGCAACCCUAUUGCCAGUUGCUACCAGGUAAUGCUGGGCACUCUGGUGAGACUGCCCCGGUUAACGGGGAGGAAGGUGGGGACGACGUCAAGUCAUCAUGGCCCUUACGCCUAGGGCCACACACGUACUACAAUGGCGCAUACAAAGGGCAGCGAUACCGCGAGGUGGAGCCAAUCCCAAAAAGUGCGUCCCAGUCCGGAUUGCAGUCUGCAACUCGACUGCAUGAAGUUGGAAUCGCUAGUAAUUCGAGAUCAGCAUGCUCGGGUGAAUGCGUUCCCGGGCCUU